CGGGGUGUAGCGCAGUUGGUAGCGCGUACGGCUGGGGCCGUGAGGUCGCAGGUUCAAGUCCUGUCACCCCGACCA
rnacentral:tRNA from 1 species